rnacentral:lncRNA from 7 species
AAGAUUUGAUGGAGCUGAUCAAGUGGGUCCUCUGAGAGGCAGCUGGAGAGGAAGAUUCUCUAUAUACCAGAAUUUACUUCAUGCAAAACACAUCAGUCCUGUCUUCUAACAUCUCUGGUGCCAUUUCUGCCUGUGGCCUUACCUCCUCCAUUACGCAGCAGAGGUCUUAUAUACUUAUUCUACACCAAACAGCCGCUCUGCCUGAAAAGGAUAGUUAUAUUUAAUCAUCAUACAAAGAUGGACAAAAAUAAAGCACACUGGGAUAUGAAGAUUAAAAAACUUGCUGCUUAAAGCUAAAUGGGAAAAAGCAAAGCCAAGCAGAUGUGACAAAUCUGGAAACCAAAAAGAAGGAAGUUGCUGUCCUUGGGACAGCUUUUGGCCCAUUGCUUGAAAGGACAAUGUGUUGUGUGACUUGUAGGAAAUAUGCUCUUUCGCAACCACAAUAACUGUGUAAUAGAGUAUGUUUUGAUCCAGUCCAACAGUCCACCCACUACUAAUAUUUCCCCACUAAACCAUAUCCCUCUGUACAACAAAAGGCUGUACUUUGGAGUGACAGCACCCGGCUUUGGGGAUCAUAGCAGGAACUGUUUUCUUCCUGUUUUCCUGGCCUUGCAAAAUUAAAUCAGCUGAGAGAAGAGGAAGCAGGGAGACUCUAGCUUGUAUCUUACCUUUGCAGGAUGCAACUGAACCACCUCCUUACUUCCUGCAUCAAGCUGAAAAGGUUUGCAUUAAUCUCUUUUAACUUACAUGUCAAAUGACUAUAAAUUAUACUGGUUGUAUACUAAUUCCAUUGUAGACAUAUGAAGGAAAUUAUAAAUUUUUAAUAUCUCUUUCUACACAACAAAUUAAAAUUUAUGUUAUGUUUUUGUCUUUUGAAUAAGUGAUUAUAAAAACAAAGGCCUAUAUAAUAUAGCCGUAUAAAUUAAUAAUUUUAGGAAAGAAAUUGAAGUUCUCAGCCUUGCUCUUUUUCACAAGGAAAAAUGAUGAAUUCUACCGCAUUCAGUUUUAUAAUUAGAUACUUAUUUUAAUAUAAGCACAUUAAUAUCAACAAAGCCUUACAGAAUCAACACAAUUUUUCUAUUUCUCACGUAGUCCCACAGCAUAUUUGGGAUGUUGAUGUUUAGCAAUGCUUUAAAAAGAAUGUUUUGAAAAGUUGUUCUUAUUUCAGACUGUAAAUAAUGCUUCUAAUAAAAUCUUUCUUGUGGUGGAGAGAUCUGGGGCUGGCACAGACAGCUGGUGGUGUACCACCGCUGGAGCUGAUAUAAAUGGUGAACAGCGAAUAGCCAAAAAGGGAUUGACCCGAAAGAGUUAGGUUAUUAAUAUUACAAUGAGGUUAUUAGGCUGAAUCAGUUGGAUAAGCCACUUCAUCUAAAACUUUUAAAUGUAUGUGUGUGUUCUGUUGUGUAAAUCAAAUGGUCUCAUUUUCAAACCUGUUCCAAGGGAAAUUAUGUAUUCAGCAUUUCUAACAGUUUGGUCGAUCUGUAGAGAGAUUUGGAUUACUUAAUAUACUUACAUUUGAAUAGAGUUUGAAGUUAGCCUUUUGUUUUAAUAUAAAGUUGUGUUCUGAGUGUUAAUUUAAUAAUGCAAACAUCCUUCUCCUCUAAUGCUCUCAAGAAGACUGGUUUCUGGGAUUUUCAUGGCACAAAUUCUGAGGGAUAGCUCUGAUUCGUACACCACUCUGUUGCCAGGCCA